rnacentral:tRNA from 1 species
GCUCAGUUGGUUAAACGUCCAACUCUUGGUUUCAGCUCAGGUCAUGAUCUCACAGUUCGUGGGUUCAAGCCCCACAUCGAGCU